UGAGUAACACGUAUCCAACCUGCCGUCUACUCUUGGUCAGCCUUCUGAAAGGAAGAUUAAUCCAGGAUGGCAUCAUGAGUUCACAUGUCCGCAUGAUUAAAGGUAUUUUCCGGUAGACGAUGGGGAUGCGUUCCAUUAGAUAGUAGGCGGGGUAACGGCCCACCUAGUCAACGAUGGAUAGGGGUUCUGAGAGGAAGGUCCCCCACAUUGGAACUGAGACACGGUCCAA
rnacentral:rRNA from 1 species